rnacentral:tRNA from 1 species
GGGGAUGUUGCAAAAGUGGUAAUGCGCUCACCUAGUAUGCGUGAGGCACUGGGUUCAAUUCCCAGCAACACAU